CCUCGGGGGGCAGCAGUGAGGAAUAUUGGUCAAUGGGCGCAGGCCUGAACCAGCCAAGUAGCGUGAAGGAUGUCUGCCCUAUGGGUUGUAAACUUCUUUUAUCUGGGAAUAAAGUUUUCCACGUGUGGAAUUUUGUAUGUACCAUAUGAAUAAGGAUCGGCUAACUCCGUGCCAGCAGCCGCGGUAAUACGUAGGAUCCGAGCGUUAUCCGGAUUUAUUGGGUUUAAAGGGAGCGUAGAUGGGUUGUUAAGUCAGUUGUGAAAGUUUGCGGCUCAACCGUAAAAUUGCAAUUGAUACUGGCGUCC
rnacentral:rRNA from 1 species